GACUACAUGUUUAUUAGCGUUGCCUAGCGUCUGCGUCUGACAACUCUCCUCCGUCUGUGGACAUGGGAGGACCUGCGAGUCCUCCUACGUCUACCAACGGGGCGAGCAGCGUGUCUGCGAGCUCGGAAGACCACACGUUG